rnacentral:rRNA from 1 species
AUACGAAGGGUGCAAGCGUUAAUCGGAAUUACUGGGCGUAAAGCGCGCGUAGGUGGUUCGUUAAGUUGGAUGUGAAAGCCCCGGGCUCAACCUGGGAACUGCAUCCAAAACUGGCGAGCUAGAGUAUGGCAGAGGGUGGUGGAAUUUCCUGUGUAGCGGUGAAAUGCGUAGAUAUAGGAAGGAACACCAGUGGCGAAGGCGACCACCUGGGCUAAUACUGACACUGAGGUGCGAAAGCGUGGGGAGCAAACAGGAUUAGGUCCCCUGGUAGUCCAUGCCGUAAACGAUGUCGACUAGCCGUUGGGAUCCUUGAGAUCUUAGUGGCGCAGCUAACGCAUUAAGUCGACCGCCUGGGGAGUACGGCCGCAAGGUUAAAACUCAAAUGAAUUGGCGGGG